rnacentral:rRNA from 14 species
UUUGGCGACAUCAGGCGAUGAAGGACGUGACUAGCUGCGAUAAGCCUCGGGUAGCGGCAAAUACGCUUUGACCCGGGGAUUUCCGAAUGGGAAAACCCAGCAUCCUUAAUCGGAUGUUAUCUAUAUCUGAAUACAUAGGGUAUAGAAGCGAUACCCGCUGAAUUGAAACAUCUUAGUAAGCGGAGGAAAAAAAAAAAAAA